ACGAACGCUGGCGGCGUGGAUAAGACAUGCAAGUCGAAACGGGACUUUUUUCUGGUAGCAAUACCGGGAAAAGUUUUAGUGGCGAACGGGUGCGUAACACGUGGGCAAUCUGCCAUAAAGUGGGGGAUAGCUCGGCGAAAGCCGAAAUUAAUACCGCAUGUGAUCAGCCAAGACAUCUUGGCGACAUUAAAGCCGGGGCAACCUGGCGCUUUUUUGAUGAGGCCCGCCGGCCUAUCAGCUAGUUGGUGGGGGUAACGGCCUACCAAGGCAGUGACGGGUAGCUGGUCUGAGAGGACGACCAGCCACACUGGAACUGAGACACGGUCCAGACACCUACGGGUGGCAGCAGUCGAGAAUUUUUCUCAAUGGGGGCAACCCUGAAAGGAGCGACGCCGCGUGGAGGAUGAAGGCUUUCGGGUUUGUAAACUCCUGUCAUUUGGGAAACAAUGCUUACGCAAGUAACUACGCGUGAGUUGAUAGUACCCAGAAGAGGAAGAGACGGCUAACUCUGUGCCAGCAAGCCGCGGUAAUACAGAGGUCUCAAGCGUUGGUUUCGGAUUCAUUGGGCGUAAAGGGUUGCGUAGGUGGCGCGCUAAGUCGGGUGUUGAAAUUUCGGAGCUUAACUCCGAAACUGCAUUCGAUAACUGGCGUGCUGAGGACUGGAGAGAGGAGACUGGAAUUCAUGGUGUAGCAGUGAAAUGCGUAGAGAUCAUGAGGAAGACCAGUGGCGGAAGGCGGGGUCUCUGGACAGUUCCUGACACUGAGACACGAAGGCCAGGGGAGCAAACGGGAUUAAGAUACCCCGGUAGUCCUGGCAGGUAAACGGUGCACGUUUUUUGGUGUGGGAGGAUUCGACCCCUUUCCGCGGCCGGAGGCUAAACGCGGUUAAAACGUGCCGCCUGGGGGAGUACGGUCGCAAGAUUAAAAACUCAAAGAAAUUGACGGGGGCCCGCACAAGCGGUGGGAGUAUGUGGCUUAAUUCGAUGCAACGCGAAGAACCUUUACCUGGCCUUGACAUGCAUUGCUAAGUUGGUGAAAGCCAGCGAGUGGAGAAAUCCACACCCUUGCACAGGUGCUGCAUGGCUUGUCGUCAGGCUUCGUGUCGUGAGAUGGUGGGGUUAAGUCCCCGCAACCGGAGCGCAACCCCUGUGAACUGUUUGCCACGUCCUUGAUUGGACAGCACUCUGUUCAGAACUGCCCUGUUGAAACGGGGGAGGAAGGUGGGGAACGGACCGUCAAAGUCAGUAUGGCCCUUUACGGCCAGGGCUGCACCACGUACUACACAAUGCCCAGUACAGAAACGAUCCGAGACCGGCGAGGUGGGAGGAAAUCCAGUAAAAACUGGGCUCAGUUUCGGAUUUGAUAGGCUGCAACCCGCCUUCAAUUGAAAGCCGGAAAUCGCUAGUAAUGGCGCAUCAGCUACGGCCGGCCGUGAAUACGUUUCCCCGGGCCUUGUACACACCGCCCCGUCACAUCAUGGAAGUUGCUUGUAGCCGAAAGCCGGCGCCACUAACCCGCAAGGGAGGUAGCCGUCUACGCUAUGAGCAGUAACCUGGGAUG
rnacentral:rRNA from 1 species